rnacentral:rRNA from 1 species
GACGAACGCUGGCGGCGUGCCUAAUACAUGCAAGUCGAACGAACCGCGACUAGGUGCUUGCACUUGGUCAAGGCGAGUGGCGAACGGGUGAGUAACACGUGGGUAACCUACCUCAUAGUGGGGGAUAACAGUCGGAAACGACUGCUAAUACCGCAUAGGACAUGGGAUCACAUGAUUCUGUGAGGAAAGGUGGCGCAAGCUAUCGCUAAGAGAUGGACCCGCGGUGCAUUAGCUAGUUGGUAGGGUAACGGCCUACCAAGGCGAUGAUGCAUAGCCGACCUGAGAGGGUGAUCGGCCACAUUGGGACUGAGACACGGCCCAAACUCCUACGGGAGGCAGCAGUAGGGAAUCUUCCGCAAUGGACGCAAGUCUGACGGAGCAACGCCGCGUGAGUGAAGAAGGUCUUCGGAUCGUAAAGCUCUGUUGUUAGAGAAGAACAGCGCAUAGAGUAACUGUUAUGCGUGUGACGGUAUCUAACCAGAAAGCCACGGCUAACUACGUG